AUUUCUGAUCAGAACAGUUCCGCCUCAGUCUAGUAUACUGGCUCUUUGGAACCCCUGCGAGCCAUUUAGGGUGGUGUCCACUGUUAGACUGGAUGAAGCUGUUCGUGUCUGUGGGUUUAAAAAAUGUUUUAGUUCUAAUUUCUGAGCCUUCGAUAAAGAUCAUCAAAUCUAACAAAUCAAUGGUCGUUGGAUUAAAGACAGGUGUAAA